rnacentral:misc_RNA from 1 species
UUUCCGUAGGUGAACCUGCGGAAGGAUCAUUAUUGAUAGAACUUUUCAAGUUUUUUCAUAUUCCCUGUUUAUAUCACAUACGUUCCUUCCACCGGACAGGUCUUUAGGACCCUCUAGCUUGAGCAAAGGCACUUGCUGGGGAGCUGCCGGUGGCGCUUCUGGGGGAAAUAAAACAUGAUAUCAAGAACUGUCUGAAAUAUUUUCAAAAGAAAUAAAACUUUCAACAACGGAUCUCUAGGCUCUU